rnacentral:rRNA from 1 species
GAUGAACGCUGGCGGCGUGCCUAAUACAUGCAAGUCGAGCGAACAGACGGGGAGCUUGCUCCUCUGACGUUAGCGGCGGACGGGUGAGUAACACGUGGAUAACCUACCUAUAAGACUGGGAUAACUUCGGGAAACCGGAGCUAAUACCGGAUAAUAUAUUGAACCGCAUGGUUCAAUAGUGAAAGACGGUUUUGCUGUCACUUAUAGAUGGAUCCGCGCCGCAUUAGCUAGUUGGUAAGGUAACGGCUUACCAAGGCAACGAUGCGUAGCCGACCUGAGAGGGUGAUCGGCCACACUGGAACUGAGACACGGUCCAGACUCCUACGGGAGGCAGCAGUAGGGAAUCUUCCGCAAUGGGCGAAAGCCUGACGGAGCAACGCCGCGUGAGUGAUGAAGGUCUUCGGAUCGUAAAACUCUGUUAUUAGGGAAGAACAAAUGUGUAAGUAACUAUGCACGUCUUGACGGUACCUAAUCAGAAAGCCACGGCUAACUACGU